CUUCUUCUCACAGCAAAAAAGUCUAGGUUGGCGUAGCUGGUGUAGAGCUGUUUCCCCUAUUUCCAGAGAAUUGAUUUGAGGAAUUUAACAGCUCCUUUCUCGCUCCUGGCUUACCUUGUCAAGCUGCUGAACCCCAGAAGGACUGUGGAGCUUCUUAUCAUUUCUUAGCCCCGAGGAUUCAGACCAACAUCUGCUUCCAGCUUCACACCAGGCCAGGAAACUACACAGAAGCCCCAUGCAAGUGGUACCUAUUGUUUUCAUGAUCGGAGCCUUCGUUCUGAUACUAAAGCCGAGUGCAGUUCCUGUGUAGAAACUGAGGACAGAAAAGUAAGUGCCUUUUUUUAAUGCAAUUUGUCAGGCAGCUCUAGUAAGCGGGGAGGAGGUUGUUCGGUUGAUAUUUUUAUUUUAAUUAAACCAUGUGAAAUUUUUUGAU
ensembl:lncRNA